rnacentral:rRNA from 1 species
UACGAAGGGGGCUAGCGUUGCUCGGAAUCACUGGGCGUAAAGGGUGCGUAGGCGGGUCUUUAAGUCAGAGGUGAAAGCCUGGAGCUCAACUCCAGAACUGCCUUUGAUACUGAGGAUCUCGAGUUCGGGAGAGGUGAGUGGAACUGCGAGUGUAGAGGUGAAAUUCGUAGAUAUUCGGAAGAACACCAGUGGCGAAGGCGACUCACUGGACACGUAUUGACGCUGAGGUGCGAAAGCGUGGGGAGCAAACAGG